UACGUAGGCAGCGAGCGUUGUUCGGAGUUACUGGGCGUAAAGGGCUCGUAGGCGGUUUGUCGCGUCUGCUGUGAAAAUCCGGGGCUCAACCCCGGACUUGCAGUGGGUACGGGCAGACUAGAGUGUGGUAGGGGAGACUGGAAUUCCUGGUGUAGCGGUGAAAUGCGCAGAUAUCAGGAGGAACACCGAUGGCGAAGGCAGGUCUCUGGGCCAUAACUGACGCUGAGAAGCGAAAGCAUGGGGAGCGAACAGG
rnacentral:rRNA from 1 species